AUGGGCAGGGGCUGCUUCCUCCUGCUCCUGGGCGCCGUCUGCACAACGGUCCGGAGCGCCGUGCUGCUGCGGCAGCAUCCCCCGGACUUGGCCGUGUGGGAGGGAGAAGAAGUGACCUUCCAGUGCAGCAUGGACGGAGGCUCCAUGGGCUCCUAUUACAUGUACUGGUACCGGAAGGGGGAGCAGGGCACCCUGACCUGGAUUUACCGAGAAGGGGACCGUUACGGCGACGGCUUCCCGGGGCGCUUUGAAGGGGAGACCGAUAGCUCCGAGAACAGGUUCACGCUCCGGCUCCUGCAGGCGACGCGGGCGGACCGGGCCGUGUAUUACUGCGCUGGACCACAUGGACAGGGGGAGAUCGCGCAGAGAGAUAAAGAGGAGCAGAUGGAUAUUACUGGAAAGAGAACAGACAGACGGGUGGGCACGGGUGGGGCGGACAGCCAGGGAAAGAUAGGACGACUUUCGGGAGCUUUCUCUGUUCUGUUGGCACGGAAGCUGGAGAAGGCAUUUGGGUCUCCUAGAAAGAUUAACAAUGUCCUCAAGAAACUGUGA